rnacentral:lncRNA from 1 species
GAAGAGAGAAGACGAGAGUCCUGGCGACCGAGCGAAUUUCAAUGGGGAGAAGCGACGGAGAAAGGCGCGCUGUUCGCGCAAGGAGUGCCUCGCAGUAGUCUGCGUCUCGCGGUACAGACGCGGGGAGAUACCGCAGGCUGCGACAGGCCGCAAUCGCCUCCGGCUUAGAUAGGCGUCUGAGAGAGGCCUGCGGCGGGAGAAGAAUCUGCUGAAGAAACAAGCCAAAAAGGGAAGACAAACGCGCAGGAUAUGCCACGCACUCUGAAAUUCCGACGGGCUGGCAGGACGGAUGCCUGAACGGCCGACGAAAGUAGAGAGGAAAAAGAGAACAGGGACCCGAAGGAGAAUACAGCGGAACCUUUCCAGGCGGGGACUGUCCACGGAUGGACCUAUCUCAACAGGUGGACUAGUUAUGGUUUUAUUAGAUUUACAUGUAAAUACAGAAUUAUUAUGAUUCUAUGUAUUCUGGGGUGAUAGUGUCUUAUAUCAACAUCUAUUCUGGUUUUUCGGACACACAUACAUGCUAUUUACGUCAUUCGUUGACUGUGUUUACCACGGGGAAUUAGAACGGAAUAUCUUUGCCUCGAGGUUUGUUACGUUCCGUACAGUUGUAGGUAAAAGGUAUGUUAGAGAAUUAGACUAGCGUUGCAGCACAUUGUUUCAUUCGAUAGUCCACGCUGGGCUACAUUGAAACUCAUGGAAAGCCAUGAAACAGAAGUCGAUCCAGAACCACCGUUGUGCACUGGGAGAAUUCGCAUUCGCCUUCUCGGUACCCUUUUCAGCUCGCCAGAUUGAGGCAACAGCACAAGACUGAAAGAAGAGAAGAAAGAGAACAGCAAAGCUUCCGCCGCAGCAACAAAGUUUGAGGUGCGACUGGAAGCAAGUUCUGCGAUGUUUCUCGGCCCACCUUCUCCGGUUCCCUUGUUGACGAGGUUGAAGGAGAACAAGACUCGGCUUUCGUCUCCAUAGGGAUGACCACAACCUUUCGCCGAGGCCUUGCAGCUGCGGUGUACGUACACCUCGCGUCUCUCGCGGAGGGUCGGAGCCGCCAUGGUUCGCGCUGACUCCCUCCCUGUUGGAGACGGUGGAAACUCCCCGAGGAAAGGAAGCAGUUCGACUCUGAGUUAGCUGCCGGAACCCAGCCCCCAGAAGGCCAGACAGAAGCAGCCGCAGACGAAAGCGGGGGCGAACUGGUGAGGGAGAAGUAGAUCGAAGGACCGGGGGCAGAUACAGGUGCGACGAGACUCGCCGCCGACGCAAAAGCAGAGCUCCGUUGGGAUGAAGAAGACGGACGAGACAGGGAAGACCGAGAAGCUUCGCAUAAUCUCCAGACAGAAAAACGAACAGAAGGAGCAAAUCCAGGUGGUCGACAACUCGCGACAGCUUGGCCGCAUGCAAGUGACUCGCUGGCUAGCAGGGCAUACCGCGGACGACGAGGAGACAGAGAGAGUGGCGAGGCAGAGCACGAGGCAGUGGGGAAGGACUGGGCAGAGAAGGACAGAUCAGAGACAGGAGGGCCUCGGUUUACGUGCGACGACAAGGGAGCAGAAGAGUUCGGUGCUUCAGUCCAGAAAGGCGACGGCUGAGAAGCGACGAGUCUCGAGGAGGCCUGACAAUGUGAGGCAUAAGAGGCAGACGACGAAGAGAAGAAAGACGCGGACAGAGGAUACACUGGCUUUACCGACGAAGAAAACAAGGCUGCCAGAGACACCCCAGAGGAGUGGCUUCGUGAGAAACUGUGGCCGCCGGCAUCUCGCAGACUCGAAGCGCUACCGAAUGCGGACGAAGAGAUUGCUCCGCAGGCGCCCGACCCCGAAGAAGCAGCAAGACGACGAGGAGAGACUCGAGAGACUGGCGCCAUGGCUAGACGCAAAGAAAACAGAAAUACAGUGGGAGUCCCAGUGUUUACUUGCUGCCACUUGUAAUCUGCAUCGAGUGCAAAUCAGGCCUGGAAUCAUGCGCGCCUCUGCUCAGCUGUACAUACACCCCAACCUGGCUGCGGUAUAUGUCCACCUCAACUUGAUUCGCCUGUGCUGUUGAUGCCGACGCAGUCACACUUGCAAAUACAUCUCCCUCGACACCUGUCAUCAGCGGCAUUCCACGUGCACUUGCGUUCUGAGUCAUGUACACCUCACGAACUGUCGAGGGUACCAAAACCUGAUAAAAACAUACGAU